rnacentral:rRNA from 1 species
GCGGUGAAAUGCGUAGAUAUCAGGAGGAACACCGAUGGCGAAGGCAGGUCUCUGGGCAUUAACUGACGCUGAGGAGCGAAAGCAUGGGGAGCGAACAGGAUUAGAUACCCUGGUAGUCCAUGCCGUAAACGUUGGGCACUAGGUGUGGGGGACAUUCCACGUUUUCCGCGCCGUAGCUAACGCAUUAAGUGCCCCGCCUGGGGAGUACGGCCGCAAGGCUAAAACUCAAAUGAAUUGACGG